UAAUGAGAUAAUAAUUUAUAAGGCAUGUUUGUGCUACACAUUUCUUUGUUGUUUUUAUUUAUUUAUUUUUAUUUUUUCUGUUUUCUUUGUUAAAUAUAAUAUCUUUAUUUUGCAGACUUUGGAAUUUGAUCUUCUUGUUUAUGCAUCAUACCGCUCAAUUGAAGGAUUUGUCAAUGAUAUGGAAGUAAAGUUUCUUAUGGUUUUCUCUAGUGCAACUGUAAUAUAUAUUUUUUUUCAUAAUGCACUUUUAAGUUUUCAAGUUCCUUCCACACGCUUGGUGACAAUUAGUGUUGAUUUCUAGGAAUUCUGCGGAUUAGAGGAUAACCAGCUCCAAUAUCUGGAAGGUAAUUGUUGGCUUUAUUUUAAUUGUAUAUAUGGCUAAAUAGCGUGUUGAGUAACUGUCUAUGCACAGACUGAAUCUUUAGAAGUCUUUCGUUGUUGAGAUGCUGCUAUCAUUUAUGUUUCUUAACCGGCAACGUAUAUGCUGAUGGAUGUUUUGUAGAAAUUGCAGGAGCAGCAAAGACGGAAGUUGAUAAAAUCAUGCUCACAGAUGUACCACUCCUUUUCCCUCCUGGGCAGGUAUGAAUAUGAUUUGUCAGUCAAACUUCUUGCUGUUCAAGCUCAGAAUUUUGUCAUUAAUCGUGAAACAUGCCCCCUUAAUUUGAUGCAGUUGCCAUUGGCUGCUUUGCGUAGUGCAAAUCAGGUUUGCAGAGUUGCCGACUUUGAGAGAUACCUGAGUAGCAUUCUCUCUCGGCAGAGUUCUGCGCAUACUAUCUCAGAGCUAGUCGAAUUCCUUAAUGCAAUCGAUUCUUGGGUAUAAAUUCAUUGCAAUCAGCAUAUAUGUGUGUUGCAAACUCCAUAGCCUCUUUGAUAGCAGCACAAACGUUUGUACAAAUUGUAUAUCAUAUAGCUAUGUUAUUAAGUUCAGAUUUUUAAGAAUUUAAUCUGAUAUUACAUAGGAACGCUUCUUUUUGGUUUCAUUUUCCAAUCUAAGUUUCUUCAUGGCUAAUGUAUGUAGGCAAAAAAAUAACAAGGAUCUCAAGCACAUCAAUCGGAAACUGAAGUCUUGUUGGGGUCUGAGUACGCAUGACGAGAGCAAGAAGCGGGAUAAGAAAUCAAAGCACAAGUCGAAGGGGGGUUCAAAUGAAGCGCAAACUUAAAAGUAUGCCUCUUUUCUUUACUGUUGUUUUAACUUAAGUACUACUGCGGGUUUGGCUACGGUUUGGUGGCUUAGUUUUGUAAUACCAGCAGUUAUUCCAUUUUGCUGCAUCAUGAAAUUUGAUCUUAUCUCGGUUUUCUGGGUAAUUUCAUGUUCUUGUCCG